UAAUUUUUUUUUUUUUUUUU
rnacentral:snRNA from 1 species